rnacentral:lncRNA from 1 species
GCAUCAUUCCUUUAAUUGAGCAGAGUUAACUGGAUCAAAUUAUUUAUGGGAGAGAGAGGAAAAGUUAUAAAGAAUUAUAGUAAUUUUUAAUUUCCACCAAUAUACUCUUUGUAAGUGAAUCACUCUAUAAUUACUUUCUGUUGCACUGAAUGCAGCAACAAUAACACAAUAGUAUUUUAAGGCACUGGUUUUUGGCAUACUCUAACCUUGUAAUUAUUUAAAUAACAGCCAAGUUUACUCAUGUUUUUGAUUCUGUCAAGAAAAAAAAAAAGUUCCUUUACUCGAAAGUGAUGGCCGAAACAGAAUCGGAAAUUUGUUUUCUUGAAAUUACAUAAAUACACAGAAAAUGGCACUUAUUAGCUUUUGUUAAAACAUUACCUUACCUAAUCACUGCAUAAAAGUCCAGAUUUGUAGAAAAUUGUAAUUUUCUCAGUAUCUAAAACUAUUUUGCUUUCCAUUAAGUUUCUAUUUGCUAUUUUCUCAGAAUUUUACAAUUAAAGAUAAAUCACAAACUGUUUGUUUUUCUUAAAGUUCUUUGAGAAAAUGUCUAAUUAUACAAUCCUUGGACAAUACUGUGUUUUUUUGGUGCUGUGUUUUUUAAGAAGUCCUACUUACUGGAAUUUUGACUAUUUGGAUAUUUUUGUUUUUAAAAGGGGAGGGGAAUUUGCUUAAUACUUCUAAAGAUGUGAAUUGAUAAUUGAUAUUAAAAUAGAAUUACUCUCAACUCACCAGAAUUAAAUUUUAUAUCUGCAUAUUUAACACUAUUAGCUCAUAUAAAUUAUAAGAAAAAUUUUCAAAGGAUCUGGUUUUAAUUUUUUGGAUAUGAAAUGAAUUUGCCUUUUCUGCCUUUUCUUAAGUACUAUUUUGUAACUAUAUUGCACUAACUAUAUCCAAAACACAUUCUGAGCAUCACUGUGAGUAACAGCCUUCCAGUUUGUACCCUUUUGAUUCACAGCAUGGCCCUAUAGUUAAUUAAGAGGUGGAUAACUUAAGCUCACAACUGCCUUUAAUUUGAUUUCACAUCCACAGUUAUAAACUUUGCAUUUAAAAGGAAAAUGAGACAUUUAAAUAGGUUCCUGUUGUUUCACAUAUAAUUGGUAAAAACAUAUUCCCUUGUAGGAUCCUAUUAUCAGAGCAUCAAAUACCAAAGUCAGCAACUUGGGUUGCCAAAUAAAUUAGGCUCAUUAAUUAUUUUGAAAAGGGCUGCUGUUUCCAUGUAAAUGAUAAUUUUCUUUUUCAUGGACAAGGUUAUGGUACUUAUCUACUAAAAGAAACAUGCAUAAACAUAGUUUUUAUCUUUAACUUCAGUAUUAAAAUAUGCAGUUUUUUGCAAAGAGGAAAAACAUCUGGUUCAAUUACGCUGAACUCUGACUACAUGUGGGCCAGUAAUAAUAUGAAUUGGACUUAAGAAUAAACCUUGUGUUUAAUCUCUUUUUUUCCUUAAAAUUUUAAUGUGAGUUUUCUGUUACGCAAAUUAUCCAUGUUAGCACAUUUGGAACAAAUGUAUAAAUGUACUUUCUGAAUAAAGUCAAAAGUCU